rnacentral:rRNA from 1 species
UCCAGACUCCUACGGGAGGCAGCAGUGGGGAAUAUUGGGCAAUGGGCGCAAGCCUGACCCAGCAACGCCGCGUGAAGGAAGAAGGCUUUCGGGUUGUAAACUUCUUUUAAGAGGGAAGAGAAGAAGACGGUACCUCUUGAAUAAGCCACGGCUAACUACGUGCCAGCAGCCGCGGUAAUACGUAGGUGGCAAGCGUUAUCCGGAUUUAUUGGGUGUAAAGGGCGUGUAGGCGGGAAUGCAAGUCAGAUGUGAAAACUAUGGGCUCAACCCAUAGCCUGCAUUUGAAACUGUAUUUCUUGAGUGCUGGAGAGGCAAGCGGAAUUCCGUGUGUAGCGGUGAAAUGCGUAGAUAUACGGAGGAACACCGGGGGCGAAGGCGGAUUGCUGGACAGUAACUGACGCUGAGGCGCGAAAGCGUGGGGAGCAAACAGGAUUAGAUCCCCCCGUA